AGAGUUUGAUCCUGGCUCAGGACGAACGCUGGCGGCGCGCUUAACACAUGCAAGUCGAGCGAGAACCAGUCCUUCGGGGCUGGGGACAGCGGCGAACGGGUGAGUAACACGUGAGUAAUCCACCCUUGGUACCGGGAUAGCCCGGGGAAACUCGGAUUAAUACCGGAUGGCCCAUCAGCUUUUCGGAGCGGAUGGAAAAGGUAGCUUCGGCCUCCGACCAAGGACGAGCUCGCGGCGGAUUAGCUUGUUGGCGGGGUAACGGCCCACCAAGGCGACGAUCCGUAGCUGGUCUGAGAGGACGAUCAGCCACACUGGGACUGAGACACGGCCCAGACUCCUACGGGAGGCAGCAGUGGGGAAUCUUGCGCAAUGGGCGAAAGCCUGACGCAGCGACGCCGCGUGAGGGAAGAAGGCCUUCGGGUUGUAAACCUCUUUCAGGAGGGACGAAGCCACUCGGGUUAAUAGCCCAGAGGGUGACGGUACCUCCAGAAGAAGCCCCGGCUAACUACGUGCCAGCAGCCGCGGUAAUACGUAGGGGGCAAGCGUUGUCCGGAUUUAUUGGGCGUAAAGAGCGUGUAGGCGGUUUUACAGGUCCGCUGUGAAAACUCGAGGCUCAACCUCGAGCUGUCGGUGGAAACCGUAAGGCUAGAGUCCGGAAGAGGAGAGUGGAAUUCCUGGUGUAGCGGUGAAAUGCGCAGAUAUCAGGAAGAACACCCGUGGCGAAGGCGGCUCUCUGGGACGGUACUGACGCUGAGACGCGAAAGCGUGGGGAGCGAACAGGAUUAGAUACCCUGGUAGUCCACGCCGUAAACGAUGGGUGCUAGGUGUGGGGGGUGUCGACUCCCCCCGUGCCGAAGCUAACGCAUUAAGCACCCCGC
rnacentral:rRNA from 1 species